GAUGAACGCUGGCGGCGUGCCUAAUACAUGCAAGUCGAGCGAACAGACGAGGAGCUUGCUCCUCUGACGUUAGCGGCGGACGGGUGAGUAACACGUGGAUAACCUACCUAUAAGACUGGGAUAACUUCGGGAAACCGGAGCUAAUACCGGAUAAUAUAUUGAACCGCAUGGUUCAAUAGUGAAAGACGGUUUUGCUGUCACUUAUAGAUGGAUCCGCCCCGCAUUGGCUAGUUGGUAAGGUAACGGCUUACCAAGGCAACGAUGCGUAGCCGACCUGAGAGGGUGAUCGGCCACCCUGGAACUGAGACACGGUCCAGACUCCUACGGGAGGCAGCAGUAGGGAAUCUUCCGCAAUGGGCGAAAGCCUGACGGAGCAACGCCGCGUGAGUGAUGAAGGUCUUCGGAUCGUAAAACUCUGUUAUUAGGGAAGAACAAAUGUGUAAGUAACUAUGCACGUCUUGACGGUACCUAAUCAGAAAGCCACGGCUAACUACGUG
rnacentral:rRNA from 1 species